UCCAAAACAACAUUUUUUUACCAAAUUUUCCAAACUUAGCCAAAAUUUCCUUAUUUUCCCUUUCUUCGAGUUUCUUAUUUAAAUUUCCUUAAUUCAAAAUUUUCCAAUUUCUUAAUUGAUUUCCAAAUUCGAAAAAUUCACUUCCAAUUCCUUAGUUUUUCUUUUACUCAAAGUUCAUAAUUUAUUGCCCAUUUUCCUUUUGAUUUCCAAUUAUUUUACUAUUUUUAUUUUUGAACUUAAACUCAAUUAUUUUAUUUUACCGUGUUUAAUUUCAACUCAAUUUUAGUU
rnacentral:lncRNA from 1 species